AGGACUAACGCUGGCGGCGUGCCUAACACAUGCAAGUCGAACGGGGUAGCAAUACCCAGUGGCAGACGGGUGAGUAACACGUGGUCAACCUACCUCCAUGUGGGGGAUAACUAGCCGAAAGGUUAGCUAAUACCGCAUACGAUCGCUUUGGGGCAUCCCUAGGCGAUGAAAGGAGCAAUCCGCAUAGAGAGGGGACUGCGUCCCAUUAGUUAGUUGGUGGGGUAACGGCCUACCAAGACUCCGAUGGGUAGCUGGCUUGAGAGAGCGACCAGCCACACUGGAACUGAGACACGGUCCAGACUCCUAUGGGAGGCAGCAGUGAGGAAUUUUCCGCAAUGGGCGAAAGCCUGACGGAGCGACGCCGCGUGUGGGAAGAAGGCCUUCGGGUCGUAAACCACUGUCGAAGGGGACGAUAAUGACGGUACCCUUGGAGGAAGCCCCGGCUAACUACGCGCCAGCAGCCGC
rnacentral:rRNA from 1 species